rnacentral:rRNA from 1 species
UACGGGGGGGGCAAGCGUUGUUCGGAAUUACUGGGCGUAAAGGGCUCGUAGGCGGCCAACUAAGUCGGACGUGAAAUCCCCAGGCUCAACCUGGGAACUGCGUCCGAUACUGGAUGGCUUGAAUUCGGGAGAGGGAUGCAGAAUUCCAGGUGUAGCGGUGAAAUGCGUAGAUAUCUGGAGGAAUACCGGUGGCGAAGGCGGCAUCCUGGACCGACAUUGACGCUGAGGCGCGAAAGCGUGGGUAGCAAACAGG